UUCAAUCCUUCUUUCCUUCUCUCUGUUUAUUGCAGGUGUGUAACAAGGUGAUGGGGGCCCGCGGCUUGGGUCGUAUGACAGGGAGGCUCGAUUCGUGGGUCUAUGGUGUGGCUCGCUCGUGGGUGCGACGGUGCUUGCGGCGGUGGGUCUACGACAUGGCUCGACUGGUCUAUCUUCCAUCAGAUACGAUUUGGGGUUUGUAGAUUCAACUUGUUUCCGUGUCUAUGUGAAAGUCAGAUGUGAAGAGAUGGUGGAGACAACUGACUUAACAUUAAUGUAGUUGCAGGACUAAUGAGAAUAAUUGCUAGGAUACAUAUGUUUGGGGCUCUAAACGGUGUGAAGAUGGACUUGGAAAAUGUUGUUUCCCCUUUGCUUAUAGCAUAGCUAGAGAGCUUGAUUUGGAGGAAUGGACUUCCAGGACUGAAACUGCUAAUGUGCUACAUGAGCCAGUAUGUCUCUUUUCAUCUCAUCUCAUCUCAUCUUGCAAGUCAUUUAUAAUUUAAGUAGUUUCUUUUUCUCUAGAGUUAAUUAUGAGAAAUUCAUAAACAUUGUUUGGUAAAUGAAAAUUGUAUUGUUCUGCUUUACUAACUCUGUUAGAUCAUUCCUUUUAUUCUGUUAACUUUCAAUUUUAUACAUAUUUGUAAAAUUUGGGCUCCUUAAUCUAUUUCUAAAAUUUAAAAUGUAUUUGAAUGAAUUAGUUUAGUGAUAGUGCUAGUGCUAGUUCUCUCAAUAUCCUAUCUUUCCAUAUCAAGUUUGAAAUUCAUGUCUAGAUCAUUUCACUGGUAGUCCUGUGCAUAUUUUGUAGAUGCAUUCAUACUGAUAUUGAUUGGCAUUGUGGCUGUUAAGUUGUCAGUUGCAAUUUGGUACAAAAGAAUAAUGCAAUUUGGUACUCGUUGGCUUGCUAUAGUAGUAUAAACCAUGCACGAAUAUAAUAUUUAUGUC